rnacentral:rRNA from 1 species
AGUGAACGCUGGCGGUAGGCCUAACACAUGCAAGUCGAACGGCAGCACAGAGGAGCUUGCUCCUUGGGUGGCGAGUGGCGGACGGGUGAGGAAUACAUCGGAAUCUACUCUGUCGUGGGGGAUAACGCAGGGAAACUUACGCAAAUACCGCAUACGACCUACGGGCGAAAGCAGGGGGCGUUCGGGACUUGCGCGAUUGAAUGAGCGGAUGUCGGAGUAGCUAGUUGGCGGGGUAAAGGCCCACCAGGGCGACGAUCCGUAGCUGGUCUGAGAGGAUGAUCAGCCACACUGGAACUGAGACACGGUCCAGACUCCUACGGGAGGCAGCAGUGGGGAAUAUUGGACAAUGGGCGCAAGCCUGAUCCAGCCAUUCCGCGUGGGUGAAGAAGGCCUUCGGGUUGUAAAGCCCUCUUGUUGGAAAAGAAAUCCAGCUGGCUAAUACCCUGUUGUGAUGACGGUACCCAAAGAAUAAGCACCGGCUAACUUCGUGCCAGCCGCCGCGGUAAUAC